rnacentral:rRNA from 1 species
AUGCACUAUGGCUCUUUUGGGUGAAAGCGGCGGACGGGUGAGUAAUGUCUGGGAAACUGCCUGAUGGAGGGGGAUAACUACUGGAAACGGUAGCUAAUACCGCAUAACGUCUUCGGACCAAAGAGGGGGACCUUCGGGCCUCUUGCCAUCAGAUGUGCCCAGAUGGGAUUAGCUAGUAGGUGAGGUAAUGGCUCACCUAGGCGACGAUCCCUAGCUGGUCUGAGAGGAUGACCAGCCACACUGGAACUGAGACACGGUCCAGACUCCUACGGGAGGCAGCAGUGGGGAAUAUUGCACAAUGGGCGCAAGCCUGAUGCAGCCAUGCCGCGUGUGUGAAGAAGGCCUUCGGGUUGUAAAGCACUUUCAGCGGGGAGGAAGGCGGUGAGGUUAAUAACCUCAUCGAUUGACGUUACCCGCAGAAGAAGCACCGGCUAACUCCGUGCCAGCAGCCGCGGUAAUACGGAGGGUGCAAGGGUUAAUCGGAAUGACUGGGCGUAAAGCGCACGCAGGCGGUUUGUUAAGUCAGAUGUGAAAUCCCCGAGCUUAACUUGGGAACUGCAUUUGAAACUGGCAAGCUAGAGUCUUGUAGAGGGGGGUAGAAUUCCAGGUGUAGCGGUGAAAUGCGUAGAGAUCUGGAGGAAUACCGGUGGCGAAUGCGGCCCCCUGGACAAAGACUGACGCUCAUGUGCAAAAGCGUGGGGAGCAAACAGGAUUAGAUACCCCUGGUAGUCCCACGCUGU